rnacentral:sRNA from 1 species
AUGCAUAAAUGUACACAGAAACAGGUGGGGGCAACAGUGGGAGAGAAGGGGCCAGGGUAUAAAAAGGGCCCACAAGAGACCAGCUCAAGGAUCCCAAGGCCCAACUCCCCGAACCACUCAGGGUCCUGUGGACAGCUCACCUAGCGGCAAUGGCUCCAGGCUCCCGGACAUCCCUGCUCCUGGCCUUUGCCCUGCUCUGCCUGCCCUGGCUUCAAGAGGCUGGUGCCGUCCAAACCGUUCCGUUAUCCAGGCUUUUUGACCACGCUAUGCUCCAAGCCCAUCGCGCGCACCAGCUGGCCAUUGACACCUACCAGGAGUUUGUAAGUUCUUGGGGAAUGGGUGGGGGUCAGGGGUGGCAAGAAGGGGUGACUUUCCCCCACUGGGGAAGUAAUGGGAGGAGACUAAGGAGCUCAGGGUUGUUUUCUGAAGCGAAAAUGCAGGCAGAUGAGCAUAGGCUGAGCCAGAUUCCCAGAAAAGUAACAAUGGGAGCUGGUCUCCAGCAUAGAAAGCAGCCGUCCUUCUUGGUGGGGGGUCCUUCUCCUAGGAAGAAGCCUAUAUCCCAAA